GAUGAACGCUGGCGGCGUGCUUAACACAUGCAAGUCGAACGGUGAAGCAGAGCUUGCUCUGUGGAUCAGUGGCGAACGGGUGAGUAACACGUGAGCAAUCUGCCCUUGACUCUGGGAUAAGCGCUGGAAACGGCGUCUAAUACCGGAUACGAGCUGCGACCGCAUGGUCAGUAGCUGGAAAGAAUUUCGGUCAGGGAUGAGCUCGCGGCCUAUCAGCUUGUUGGUGAGGUAAUGGCUCACCAAGGCGUCGACGGGGAGCCGGCCUGAGAGGGUGCCCGGCCACACUGGGACUGAGACACGGCCCAGACUCCUACGGGAGGCAGCAGUGGGGAAUAUUGCACAAUGGGCGAAAGCCUGAUGCAGCAACGCCGCGUGAGGGAUGACGGCCUUCGGGUUGUAAACCUCUUUUAGCAGGGAAGAAGCGAAAGUGACGGUACCUGCAGAAAAAGCGCCGGCUAACUACGUGCCAGCCGCCGCAGUAA
rnacentral:rRNA from 1 species